CAGUAGCCGCGGUAAUACGUAGGUGGCAAGCGUUGUCCGGAAUUAUUGGGCGUAAAGGGCCCGCAGGCGGUUUCUUAAGUCUGAUGUGAAAGCCCCCGGCUCAACCGGGGAGGGUCAUUGGAAACUGGGAAACUUGAGUGCAGAAGAGGAGAGUGGAAUUCCACGUGUAGCGGUGAAAUGCGUAGAGAUGUGGAGGAACACAAGUGGCGAAGGCGACUCUCUGGUCUGUAACUGACGCUGAGGCACGAAAGCGUGGGGAGCAAACAGGAUUAGAGACCCCAGUAGUCCCUGUCUCUUAUAC
rnacentral:rRNA from 1 species